rnacentral:rRNA from 1 species
UACGUAGGGUCCGAGCGUUUGUCCGGAAUUAUUGGGCGUAAAGAGCUCGUAGGCGUUUGUCGCGUCUGCUGAUGAAACGACGAGGCUCAACCUCGCGAUCCUGCAAGUUGGGUAACGGGCAGACUAGAGUGCGGUAGGGGAGAAUUGGAAUUCCUGGUGUAGCGGUGAAUGCGCAGAUAUCAGGAGGAACACCGAUGGCGAAGGCAGAUCUCUGGGCGUUACUGACGCUGAGGAGCGAAAGCGUGGGGAGCGAACAGG